AAUAUACCUUUCUUUGACUUUGCUCCAAUCUUCAGCUUCGAUGGCCAAGCAAUCUGUGUAUUUGUUUCUUCCAUAAUCUUCUGAAAAAAUUCU